UGUUACAUGCUAUCUAGUAAUAUUCUGUGUUUUGUUAUUGAGAAGUUUGUCCCAGUGGGGAUCCCAUAGAGUGUGUUUGUGUGGGGGUGGAGUCAGAAAGGAAAAGGGAGGAAAAUUAGAAGGAGAAAAUAGAAAAACUCUUAGUUAAAUCUACAUUAAAUUUCUUUAUAUCUCUGAGGGAAGCAUCUAUAAAACACUCGCUCAACUUCAGGAAUAUUAAAUGGCCAGAGUGGAAAUGGAACAUCAGGUUUGUAAAGGAGAAUAACGUGGUACCAGGCGAGUUUCCCUGAGGAGAGAAUUCCAUGAGUGGGGCAAGAUUACUUCAAAGCAUGGAUCAGAACACAUGGGAGCAGGCUUUACUUCAGGUGCCUACAGUGUGCCACAGAAAUCCAAUGAAUAUGGAAAGCUUAAGCUGCAUCCUCUGGAAUGCAAAGACAAUGAGCUCAGCUGAUGAAGUGCUAAACUGACUUUAGGCAUCUCUUCCAAAUAAAGUUG